UAUAUAUAUAUAUAUAUUACCUCCUUUCUCCUCACAUAUGUCGGCCUUCUUUUCAGUCUUAAUGAUAUAAACCACUGGAGGUGUCAUCAUAACAUCAAAGUUUAAAUUCAACCUCAUUUUCUAAUCUUUUCUACAAGCGUGCUGCUAUCCUCUCUGGCCUUCUGUCAUCACAAUGCCUCUACCCGCUGUCUCACAAACAAGUUGAUUAAGUUGGC